rnacentral:miRNA from 1 species
UUGAGAUUGUAGUAGCAGUGAU